rnacentral:rRNA from 1 species
GACGAACGCUGGCGGCGUGCCUAAUACAUGCAAGUAGAACGCUGAAGGAGGAGCUUGCUCUUCUGGAUGAGUUGCGAACGGGUGAGUAACGCGUAGGUAACCUGCCUGGUAGCGGGGGAUAACUAUUGGAAACGAUAGCUAAUACCGCAUAAGAGUAGAUGUUGCAUGACAUUUGCUUAAAAGGUGCAAUUGCAUCACUACCAGAUGGACCUGCGUUGUAUUAGCUAGUUGGUGGGGUAACGGCUCACCAAGGCGACGAUACAUAGCCGACCUGAGGGGGUGAUCGGCCACACUGGGACUGAGACACGGCCCAGACUCCUACGGGAGGCAGCAGUAGGGAAUCUUCGGCAAUGGACGGAAGUCUGACCGAGCAACGCCGCGUGAGUGAAGAAGGUUUUCGGAUCGUAAAGCUCUGUUGUAAGAGAAGAACGAGUGUGAGAGUGGAAAGUUCACGCUGUGACGGUAUCUUACCAGAAAGGGACGGCUAACUACGUG